CCCCUCUCAGGAUCAAACCAGGAGAGUUUCCUGUACUCUUCUAGUCUUUACUAAGGGUGGGAGAGUCAAGCAGAGGCAUACCCAUUCCAUUCCUAGCCUGGGCAGUGGCUAGUGAGUGGAAGGCAAUCUGCUACAAGU